GACGAACGCUGGCGGCGUGCCUAAUACAUGCAAGUCGAACGCAGGGGGGACGGGUGAGUAACACGUGGGUAACCUCCCAACAGAGGGGAUAACACUUGGAAACAGGUGCUAAACCGAUACUGAUGGAUGGAACCGCGGUGCAUGAGCUAGUUGGUGCGGUAACGGCUCACCAAGGCCACGAUGCAUAGCCGACCUUAGAGGGUGAUCUGCCACACUGGGACUGAGACACGGCCCAGACUCCUACGGGAGGCAGCAGUAGGGAAUCUUCUGCAAUUGACGAAAGUCUGACCGAGCAACGCCGCGUGAGUGAAGAAGGUUUUCGGAUCGUAAAGCUCUGUUGUUCGUGAAGCGGUAUCUAACCAGAAAGCCACGGCUAACUACGUGCCAGCCGCCGCGGUAAUUC
rnacentral:rRNA from 1 species